UACGAAGGGGGCUAGCGUUGCUCGGAAUCACUGGGCGUAAAGGGUGCGUAGGCGGAUCUUUAAGUCAGAGGUGAAAUCCCAAGGCUCAACCUUGGAACUGCCUUUGAUACUGGGGAUCUCGAGUCCGGAAGAGGUUGGUGGAACUGCGAGUGUAGAGGUGAAAUUCGUAGAUAUUCGCAAGAACACCAGUGGCGAAGGCGGCCAACUGGUCCGGUACUGACGCUGAGGUGCGAAAGCGUGGGGAGCAAACAGG
rnacentral:rRNA from 1 species